rnacentral:lncRNA from 1 species
GUCCUCUGGCAUAUGGAAGUUCCCAGGCCAGGAAUUGAAUCGGAGUUACUGCUGCCGGCCUACACCACAGCCACAGCAAUGCCAGAUUCAAGCUUCAUUUGUGACCUACACCAUAGCUCAUGGCAGCACCAGAUCCCUGAUCCAAUGAGGGAGACCAGGAAUCAAACACGCAUCCUCAUGGAUACAAGUCAGAUUUGUUUCAGCUGCACCACAACAGGAACUCCUUAAAUGUUUUGUAAAACUCGAAGUGUGUCUGCCUUAAUGGAAAGGUCCUGGGAAAUCCUAGCCUGGAGUGCUAUCUGACUGAUAGAGGUAUUUCAGGAGACAGGGCUCAUUUUGCAAACUCCAGAGUACACAGCAUCAGGAGCUGGUUUUCUGAGGCUGUACAGGCCUCCAAGGAAAACGAAAGGGGCAGUUUACUGUCUUUUCCAAAAAUCGCUCCAGGCGCUCUUACCUGUCCGCUUCAAAGGAGGAGAUGGAAGAGUCAGAGUCGAGACUGUAGGCCAGGACAGUGGUGUAGUGAUUGAACCCAAAAAAGUCAUAGGUGCCAUUGAUCCUCCUCUUCUCACUCUCUGUGAACUCGGGCAGCCUAGGUGGAAGGAACCAUUAAGGGUGUGGGGCUUUGGAAGAGAAUGUCCUGGGGCAGGGUCGGUGCAGGACUCUAUACUCCAGUAGCUAGAGGUGACUACAGGGCAGCUAGCUGGUCAGGACCAAGGAUAGACCCUGCUUCUGCUGCUAAAAGCACCAGAGCCUCCUUCUACCAGACCACAGCCCUCGCUUCCCUCUGCUGUUAACAAGACCCUCUCUCUUCCUGCUGGAAAUUUUUACUGUGGUUUGUUAAGGUGUGCCUCUUUUCUCCAAAGUCUAUCCUUAUUAGUAGGGGAAAUUCUUUUACACAAUAAAUUGACUGAAAUUUUGAGAUCUGGACUCUUCUGCUCACGUGGGAUCGCUGCACAUUCUUUUUAAACAUCUGGUGGACCAUUCUCCAUGUCUCCGUAGUGAGACUUUUCUCCUGAUGAACAUGCACAUGUGUGUGCAGCACUUCCAGGUUCUUCUCAGCCAAGUGCUGACUGACUACAUGGUGCAAAUUGAGAGUUGCCUAGAGAAAGCCCUUCCUAGGCGCCUGGCACUUCAUCCUGACCUCUCUGCUACUGUUAACGGGGGAUUAACCUUCCUUCCCGGGAGUCUGGGAAACACUGGGACAACACUAAGGCCCAGCCCCCUCACAUCCCUGCUCAGGAACCAGCAGUGGCUCCUCGGGUUCUGUGGCCUCCAGGCACUCUCCAGCAUGUGGCUCUGACCCUCCCACAGCUGCUGGGCCAGUCUCCCCAGUUCCAGCUGCAGGUACCCCACUCAUUCCUGCCUCUGGGCCCGGGCUCACAUCCACCCCCUGCCCCACUAGGAUGGAAGGUCCUCUCCUCUCCAGAAUGCUGGUCAUGGUCAAGGCCCAGCUUAGCUGAUGACCUGCCUUGCCCAUGAAGUCAACUGGGUCUACCCAGCCUGCCCUCAUCUCAUCUGAACUCUCCUGGCAUGUAUCCUGCCAGGCAGGCCUGGCCCUGCCCGGGGACACAGGGAUGCUCAGCAAGGUUACAUCCGUGGACUGAAGUGUUCACUCGCUUCUUGGAGUCGGGGGUUGACAGGUCACGCCUUGUGGCUCAGUGGGGCUUGCCCUAACCAGGCCAGCCCACGUGUGUUCUGUAAGGGCAGGAACAGAUGAUUUCAUCCUCGCAGCUGGGCCGCAUAAGACUCAAAGGCUGUGUUAGAACGCGUUGCCUUUUGAAUUCCUUUUAGCCUCCCCUUCUUCUGGACACAUGAGCAAGCUUGGAGCUUGUGGGUAUAGUCCCAGGAGGCCAGGUUACUGCCUGCCCUGCCCUUCCCCACACCUCUAAUCCCAGCUGGAUGGCCCUGAAACCGAGCAUGGGCUCUGCAGUCGGGCAGCCUGCUUCCACAUCCCAGCUCCAUCACCUAAGCGCUGGCUGAUCUUGCCCUGAUCUAUGUGCUUCAGCUCACGCAUCCUUAAUUAGGAGAAGUGCCAGUGGAAGACGGAUGAAUGCUAGCUGUUGCUGACGUGGCCAUCACUUCCUUGACAGGAGGUAGGAUGACUCUGGUGCAAACCCUUGCCGCCUGGUGGCCACAUGACAAAAAGCACCCGGAGAGACAACAAGUCACUCAUUGCUUCCCACACGGACUCCUGAGGUGAUGAGAUAGGAUGGCUGGGCAGGGGGGAAUUUGUCGUUGGAGUGAGGUAAUGGGUUUCUAAGAAGUGAGGGCCCUAGAGGGGAUUUCCUGGCCAUUCUGAAGAGGAAUAACAAUAAAAAAGCAACUGCCUUCUGUCUCAACAGCCUGUCAGAGCAGUGCCAGGUCCUGAGCUAAGAGCUUCACAUACACACUCAGGCUGAAUCUUCCCAGCAAGCAAGGAAGCUCAGAGCAAUAGUAACUUGCCCAAGUCCCGCCUCUCUGACCCCAAGAGCCACACUCUGGGUACUCUGCCAUCCACCCAGGAGCCUCAGUUGGGCACCACACAGGCUGCUUCCUCCCGACCCUCUCACGGCUGAGGGUGUGGCGCCACGACCUACCGAGACUCGUUGAGGCCCGCGGCCAAGCUCCUGUCCCGGAUCCGUGUCUUCAUCACCUCGGGGUAAUCUCCAUUCUUGAAAAUAGGAUUCGAGAACCAUCCUCCCAUAAACUGUGGGUGGGGUUAGAGGGACAGUCAGGCUUGGCCUUAAGAGGCUCCUCCAGGAGACAGCAGCCUCCUUGCUCAGGAGUCACCGACCCCAGGACCCCUUCUCCCCAACCCAGGCUUAACGUCGCAGCACUUCUGUGGCUGUUCCCCUGUUGCCGCUUAAAUGCCCACGGGUCUUUUCGCUCUGCUGGGAGCUCACUGUGGGAGGGCCGUGUUCUCAACCACUGCAGCUUGAGGGACAUGAACAGAACCAAGCCCGGGCCCUGUGCUUGACAGUGCUGCCUGGAAGCCUGGAGGAGGGUCCCGCAGAAGAGGGGGAAUCCAAGCCUCCAGGACCUGAUUCCCUCUCUUACCACAGAGCCGGUCCUCCCCUGCCUUCACGCUCAGGGCCCACCAGAACCUUCUGGGGAGGGCAGAGGGGCAAGACUCCUUGACUGCCCAGGUAGAAGAUGAUUCUUCACGGGCUCUGGAUUCGCCAGGUCUAAGGGGGGGAGCUUUCCAGUCAGUUUUUCUUGAAUGAUGUCUAGGCCAUCCUUACCCUUAGUGGGUACAGGUGGCACCCAAGUGCUGUGAUGUUCUGGCCCUGACAGGCUUCUCCGUCUCCCCACAUCCACCGCUCACCUGCUGGCCGCUGCCUGAAAGGUGGGGUGAGGGCUGCCUUCCAUUCGCAGUCAGAGAUGAGGCUUGGAACACACUUGCUCUGGUAAAAGAGGCUGCAGUGCACU